UACGUAGGGGGCAAGCGUUGUCCGGAAUUAUUGGGCGUAAAGAGCGCGUAGGCGGUCCGAUAAGUCGGCUGUGAAAGUCAGGGGCUCAACCCUUGAAAGCCGGCCGAUACUGUCGGACUAGAGUCCGGAAGAGGCGAGUGGAAUUCCCGGUGUAGCGGUGAAAUGCGCAGAUAUCGGGAGGAACACCAGUGGCGAAGGCGGCGACCUGGACGGACACUGACGCUGAGACGCGAAAGCGUGGGGAGCAAACAGG
rnacentral:rRNA from 1 species